UACCAGCACCCCGAGUGGUCGGGACGAUUAUUGGGCCUAAAGCAUCCGUAGCCGGUCUUGCAAGUCUUCCGUUAAAUCCAGCUGCUUAACAGAUGGGCUGCGGAGGAUACUACAAGGCUAGGAGGCGGGAGAGGCAAGCGGUACUCAGUGGGUAGGGGUAAAAUCCUCUGAUCCAUUGAAGAACACCAGUGGCGAAGGCGGCUUACUGGUCCGGUUCUGACGCUGAGGCGCGAAAGCGUGGGGAGCAAACAGG
rnacentral:rRNA from 1 species